CAAAGUUGUCAGACUACGUUUCCCUUCAGCUGGUUUGGAGCAGAUUUAACAACUGCUUUUGCAAAUACCUGAGAGUGAAGUUGUUGGAUCAUAAAGAAGAGACAUCAUCACAGGAUCCCCAGAGGUGAUGUUUGACCAGCUGUUUGGGAAUCCCUGUACCUACUCAGUCAUCACCAAACACUAUGCAUGGGUAUUACUACUUUCCUUAUUUUGGAGACAUCAAGACUGAGGUCAGAAGAGUUAAAUACCUCGCUCAACUAGAAGUGAGCUGCUGUCAUCUCUUAGAUCCCCUGCCUCAAGAGCCUUGUUGAAGGUGAAGUCAUCUCUGGUCAUGCAGUUUGUUCACUGUCUCUGAGGACAAGAUUUAUGUGAAGAUAAAUAACCAUGGGUAAUUGUGGUGGGACCAAAGUGUUCUCCCCACUCCAAU
ensembl:lncRNA